GACGAAGGGGCUAGCGUUGUUCGGAAUUACCGGGCGAAAGCGAGUGUAGGUGGUUGUCCAAGUUGGAUGUGAAAGCCUUGAGCUCAACUCAAGAAAUGACAUUCAGGACUGGGCGGCUAGAGGACCGGAGAGGAUAGUGGAAUUCCCAGUGUAGUGGUGAAAUACGUAGAGAUUGGGAAGAACACCAGUGGCGAAGGCGGCUAUCUGGACGGUUUCUGACACUA
rnacentral:rRNA from 1 species